GGCAACCCCAGUCCAGGGGGAAUACCCCGUUAAUUUUAGCCUAUAAAAGGGGAAAAAAAA
rnacentral:rRNA from 1 species